CCUACGGGAGGCUGCAGUGAGGAAUAUUGGUCAAUGGACGAGAGUCUGGACCAGCCAAGUAGCGUGAAGGAUGACUGCCCUAUGGGUUGUAAACUUCUUUUAUAAAGGAAUAAAACGAGGCACGUGUGCCCUUUUUGCAUGUACUUUAUGAAUAAGGAUCGGCUAACUCCGUGCCAGCAGCCGCGGUAAUACGGAGGAUCCGAGCGUUAUCCGGAUUUAUGGGGUUUAAAGGGAGCGUAGAUGGGUUGUUAAGUCAGUUGUGAAAGUUUGCGGCUCAACCGUAAAAUUGCAAUUGAUACUGGCAGUCUUGAGUACAGUUGAGGUAGGCGGAAUUCGUGGUGUAGCGGUGAAAUGCUUAGAUAUCACGAAGAACCCCGAUUGCGAAGGCAGCUUACUAAACUGUGACUGACAUUGAUGCUCGAAAGUGUGGGUAUCAAACAGGAUUAGAUACCCCAGUAGUC
rnacentral:rRNA from 1 species